CCCCCCCCCCCUCUCCCACAAAAAACCAUGCACUCAGACAUCUACAGUUCGGACUCAAUCCACACUUUGCUUCCCAAUGUGGACCAAAAAGCGCAUAAACGAUUCCUUAAUAUGAUGGUGGAGCAGAAACAAAUAUAUAACCAUUGCAAUAUCAUGUAUCAACCUAUCCCUUCUCCUUUUUUAGGAGUAUUUGUCAUCAAAUUCAAAUCCUUGGGCAAGUUACAACAACAACAACUACUACCCAGUAUCGUCCCACAAAGUGGGGUCUGGGGAGGGUAGUAUAUAGACGAGCCUUACUCCUACCCGAAAGGGCAGAGAGGCUUCCAAUAGACCCUCGGCUCAGUGAAGGAAAGGGAGAAACAAAAACACAAACAAAAGAGCAUUAGUAAGUCCAGCAGAAAAAGCGUAAAUAAUUAUCUAAACAUAAGAACCAUAAAUAAAAUACCGUGCAAUAGUAUUAUACAGUAACUACCAUAGGAUUAGUAAGUCCAGCAGAAAAAGCGUAAAUAAUUAUCUAAACAUAAGAACCAUAAAUAAAAUACCGUGCAAUAGUAUCAUAUAGUAACUACCAUAGGGGAGACACAAUCCAAAAAGAAAAGUAAGUUCAGCCUUAACUUUCCCAGAAUCCCACACAAUCCUAGAUAUAAAAACAACUCCAAUGACAUUUCUAAUUAGGCGAAAAAUAAUAAAUUCCAAUUCAACUCAAUAAACAUCUAAGAUAACCAAUAUCAUUCCGAAAACAAACCGCCAACGUUUCCCCAUCAAGAAAAAGAAAUGGGUAACUGCAUAGAAACACAUCAGGAUCCAGGAAGCAUCUAAAGAUUAAUAAAUAAAUGAACAUAAAGGGAGAAAAAA
rnacentral:lncRNA from 1 species